GCUGGGCGUGGUGGUGCACACCUGUAAUCCCAGCAACUCGGGCAGCUGAGGCAGGAGGAUGGCGAGUUCUCAAAGUCAGCCUCAGCUGAUUAGUGAGGUACUUAGCAACUCAGUGAGACCCUGUCUCUA
rnacentral:sRNA from 1 species